rnacentral:misc_RNA from 1 species
UAGCCGUAGGUGAACCUGCGGCUGGAUCAUUAUCGAGCUAACCAAAAAACUCUAGCUCUGCUUCGGCAUCUAGUGUUGAAUCGUGGCAGGCAUAUGUGCGGUACAUUUGAUUUGAUGUACGACUGCACGCCACAGUGAACCAACGGCAACCGAUUGGUGUCUAACCGGCGUUGAGCAGCUGUUGUACUAAGUCCGUGGCUGUGUUGACGCGUCGGGAUACGCAUACGUCCGUGAAACACCGGGUAGCGGAUGCGAAGACUCAAUGAGCUCCAUGCCUGGGAGCUGCCAAUCACCCCUUUUUUUCAAUGAUUUUUCUAACAAUAAGACAAUAUCAGUCUUACCGGUGGAUCACUCGGUUCGU